AUACUCAUGUAAUCGCUGCAUAUCUUUAGAAUAUGCAGAGGAAAGUCCAUGCUCGCACAAACUGUGACGUUUGUAGUGUUCGUGCUUGACGAAAUCAUAAGUCAAGGUAACCUUUGGUUAACGGCAGGGGAAGUCUCUAAGUCAUUUUAGAUAUGGGAUGCGAACCUUGAAAGUGCCACAGUGACGGAGUUAGAUUGGAAACAAUCUAAGUGGAACGAGGUAAACCCCACGAGUGAGCAACCCAAAUAAUGGUAGGGGCAUCUUUGAUUAGGUAAACGAACUGAAAAAAGGACAAGUCAAUCACUUGUAGAUAGAUGAUUACAACCCGAGUACAAGGCUGACCACCACUUGGAGUACAACGGUACAGAACAUGGCUUAUCGAG
rnacentral:RNase_P_RNA from 3 species